rnacentral:lncRNA from 1 species
GGAUGGUACCUUCACACUCCAUCUCCUUCACUCUGUUGGGCGCUUCAGGGCCCCCAGUGCUGACAGCCCCAUCCCCGAGGGCGGUGCCAGGGGGGCUGUGGGCGGCGGUGCGUGGGGCCGGGGCAGUGCUGGGUGCAGCUGUGGUGUGGGGCAGCGGGGGCUCUGCACGUGUGCCGGGCUGAGAUGGGGUGUCCGCGAGGCCCCGCUCCUCCUGCCGCUCAGGCACAGCCACCACCCUGGCAGGGCUCUCACGGCUGCUGGCCGCCCUCUGCACCUCCUCCACCUGCCCAGCCUUGUAGUAGGUGAUGCCCCGCACCACAGUCUGAUGCUGCGCAGGCACCUUGGGCUUGGC